UUAUAGCGAUUCGUCUGGUUCCCAUUCGAUCAUUUCUUUUCGAAUUAGGUUUUCAUUCUGUAUUUAAUGGCGUCCAGUUCGUUUCGUGGCGGUAGUUCCUUCUACAAUGGCAACGCCGCUCCAUAUCGCUCCAGGGAGGGGCUUAGCACAAGACCGGCGGCUGCUUCUGAUGAAAUUCAACUUCAGAUCGAUCCGAUGCAAGGGGACUUGGACGACGAGAUCGUUGGUCUCCACAGCCAAGUAAAAAGACUUAGAAAUAUUGCUCAAGACAUUGGGACAGAAGCAAAGUCUCAGCAAGAUUUUCUAGAUCAGUUGCAAAUGACACUGAUCAAAGCUCAAGCAGGGGUGAAGAACAACGUAAGAAG
rnacentral:misc_RNA from 1 species